CGGGUAAUACCAAAGAGUCCCUCUUUUAUCUUGUGCUCUCUUGAUGGAACCCUAAAUACGAAAUUAGGUUCGGAGAGGGGUUUUGAGACAGGGAAAUGGAAAUAUAACGGCAGGAGACAUUUCGCACUUAGGUUAUGAAUAUUUUAUUAUUCGAUGAGUGCAAUAUUCAAAACAAAUUGGGGAUGAAUUGUUGUACCUUAGUUCCAGCGAUAUGACACAAGAGUCAAACUCUUUUCAAUACCCGUGUAUAUGUAUAUUCAGUGUAAUAGCAACAGAACCUUUUUUUUUUCUAAAAGUCUCAAAGUCGCAAUCCUCUUAUUCCCGAGUUUUCCUAAAAUUCUUUCGAUUACAAAAUUUCUAAAAAAACACAGAUAAAUGAAUGCCGGAAGUAAUCCGUAUAGGCCUGGUCGCCAACACUAUCAUAUUAUCAUCAGCGGUGUCUCCAAAUGAAGGUAGAACACAUUCAGACGUCUUAAUUCACCCCCUUUUUUUAAAAGGAUUUUUAAGAUGAGCUUGCACAUAACGGGCUGCCAGGGUGUCGCCUUCCUGUUUUUCUAAUUAUCAUCUUUAACAAAGUUAAAUCGUUCCGCUAUGGCAAGCAGUAUUAAUGAAGACCAAACUAUUUACUAACCACGUGAAACAACCUUUGUCAAAUUUAUUGCCGCUUUUUUAUUUGCCAUAGGUAAUAAAAACAUGGUAAAAAAACACAUAGGUAAUAAAAGCAAAACUUGUUUAAUGACCACCAGUUUCAGCUGCCAUAUUUUUACUAAUAAACCUCUUCAUAAUUGCAAUAGAUACCCCGUAGUGGUUGCCGUUUUUUUCCUGUUUGCGAGGGAGUUGAAACUGCUUAUAAGAAACAUGGUAGCCCUCAAUCAGGCCACAAACAGCUUAAACUGUCUUGAGUGAAGUCCUCACUUACAAAAGAGCAAGAACCUACAAGAAAAUGACAUCGUCUCUCAUUCUAGCCAUCAGCAUUAUCAUUGCCCUUUUAUUGUGUAAUGCGUAUACAAUUGACGCGUCUAUGCCUAGUCCGCCCUAUGGUAAAAGAAACGAAUUCAUCCAGAUGAAAACAGAGCGUGCUAGAAGAUUGAUAUGUCAAACGGCUGAAAGGCUUCACUGCGGCUUGAAGCAGUCCAAAGGCAACUCAAAUGACCCCUUCGAUAACGAAAAAGACGUUAAGACUAAUAUAUUAUGGUGAAUAACGGAACAUACCCACGCAGAACCGAUGGAAAUCUGAGAUAUUAAACAGGAACAUAAUCAGAGUAUGCCAUAAAAAAUAUUCCAACUUUCAGUAGGUAAAGCAGUGAGGUAUUUAGGUUUGAAUCUGAACAGCUUUUAUGGCAUUGUAAGAGACAAGUAAAAAUGUAGGUACAACACUUAAGGGCUUCUUUUACAAUAAAAAACUCUUGCGGAGGUGUAUGGCCAUAUUUUCAAUUAAAUAUUGAAUAAAAAGAUUAAAGCGGUUA